rnacentral:rRNA from 1 species
UACGGGGGGGGUAAGCGUUGUUCGGAAUUACUGGGCGUAAAGGGCUCGUAGGCGGCCAACUAAGUCAGACGUGAAAUCCCUCAGCUUAACUGGGGAACUGCGUCUGAUACUGGAUGGCUUGGAUUUGGGAGAGGGAUGCGGAAUUCCAGGUGUAGCGGUGAAAUGCGUAGAUAUCAGGAGGAACACCGGUGGCGAAGGCGCACAUCUGGCCCGAUACUGACGCUGAGGCGCGAAAGCGUGGGGAGCGAACAGG